CGCAUCUUGCGCUCCUUGGUAUUCCGAGGAGCAUGCCUGUUUGAGUGUCGUGAAAUGCUCUCAACCCCUUCUCUUUUGUUAGAGUCGGGGCUGGACUUGGACGCUUGCCGCGUGGUUAACUCCCUGCGACUCGUCUUGAAAUGCAUUAGCUGGUCCUGCCGCCCGAACCCUUGGUUUCGAAUCGGUGUGAUAAGAAACCUCUCUUAGCGCCGUUGUUGAUGCCGACUCGUUUGUAAGGGGGACCGCUUCCAAUCGUCUUUGGACAAUAUAUUCACUUCUUUUGACCUCAAAUCAGGUAGGACUACCCGCUGAACUUAA
rnacentral:misc_RNA from 1 species